AUAGCUCACUGGUCGAGUCGGCCUGCGCGGAAGAUGUAACGGGGCUAAACCAUGCACCGAAGCUGCGGCAGCGACACGAUGUGUUGUUGGGUAGGGGAGCGUUCUGUAAGCCUGCGAAGGUGUGCUGUGAGGCAUGCUGGAGGUAUCAGAAGUGCGAAUGCUGACAUAAGUAACGAUAAAGCGGGUGAAAAGCCCGCUCGCCGGAAGACCAAGGGUUCCUGUCCAACGUUAAUCGGGGCAGGGUGAGUCGACCCCUAAGGCGAGGCCGAAAGGCGUAGUCGAUGGGAAACAGGUUAAUAUUCCUGUACUUGGUGUUACUGCGAAGGGGGGACGGAGAAGGCUAUGUUAGCCGGGCGACGGUUGUCCCGGUUUAAGCAUGUAGGCUGGUUGUCCAGGCAAAUCCGGAUAAUCAAGGCUGAGGUGUGAUGACGAGGCACUACGGUGCUGAAGUAACAAAUGCCCUGCUUCCAGGAAAAGCCUCUAAGCAUCAGGUAACAUUAAAUCGUACCCCAAACCGACACAGGUGGUCAGGUAGAGAAUACCAAGGCGCUUGAGAGAACUCGGGUGAAGGAACUAGGCAAAAUGGUGCCGUAACUUCGGGAGAAGGCACGCUGGUGUGUAGGUGAAG
rnacentral:rRNA from 1 species